AGGUUGCAAAACAUGAAAGAAAAGAAUGAAACCCUAGUGCAGUUCUUGAUGUCUAAGGAAGUCAAGGAAAAAGGCCAGACAACAGUGCAGGGCACACAAUGCUUCCAAAAAUAGUAUAUGACACUUAUGAUCUUCACUGGGCUGUCACAGAGAGCCAAGAGAGCCAUACAACAUAGUGGAUUUGGUCCUAUUGAUGAUGAUGAACAGGUGUGAGGUGCACUAAGGAGGAGAUUGAGGUCAUCAUUCAUAAGGAGUUUCAGAGCUAUCGAAAGGACAUACCAAAGUGAAUCCAUUUCAUGAUUAAUGUCGUAAUUUCCCUUUUUAACGGAGAGUGAAACUCAAGGAGGAUUUAAACCAGUUAAUAGCGCCAAACCUCAUGCUUGCCGGGCACC